UACGAAGGGUGCAAGCGUUACUCGGAAUUACUGGGCGUAAAGCGUGCGUAGGUGGUUUGUUAAGUCUGUUGUGAAAGCCCCGGGCUCAACCUUGGAACUGCCUUUGAUACUGGUUGUCUUGAGUCCGGGAGAGGUGAGUGGAACUGCGAGUGUAGAGGUGAAAUUCGUAGAUAUUAGGAAGAACACCAGUGGCGAAGGCGGCUCACUGGUCCGGUACUGACGCUGAGGUGCGAAAGCGUGGGGAGCAAACAGG
rnacentral:rRNA from 1 species